rnacentral:rRNA from 1 species
UCCUACGGGAGGCAGCAGUGAGGAAUAUUGCACAAUGGGCGAAAGCCUGAUGCAGCGACGCCGCGUGGGUGAUGAAGGCUUUCGGGUCGUAAAACCCUUUUCUGUGUGACGAGCAAGGACGGUAGCACAGGAAUAAGCCUCGGCUAACUACGUGCCAGCAGCCGCGGUAAAACGUAGGAGGCGAGCGUUAUCCGGAGUUACUGGGCGUAAAGCGCGUGUAGGUGGCUUGUUGCGUCUGCUGUGAAAGCUUCCGGCUUAACCGGGACUAUGCGGUAGAUACGGGCAAGCUAGAGGGUGACAGAGGAGCGUAGAAUUCCGGGUGUAGUGGUGAAAUGCGUAGAGAUCCGGAGGAAUACCAGUGGCGCAAGCGGCGCUCUGGGUCGAGCCUGACACUGAGACGCGAAGGCAUGGGGAGCGAACGGGAUUAGAAACCCCGGUAGUCCAUGCAGUAAACGAUGCAGACUGGGUGUGGGUAGCGCAAGCUAUCUGUGCCGAAGCUAACGCGCUAAGUCUGCCGCCUGGGAAGUACGGUCGCAAGACUAAAACUCAAAGGAAUUGACGGGGGCCCGCACAAGCAGCGGAGCGUGUGGUUUAAUUCGAGGCUACACGAAGAACCUUACCUAGGGUCGACAUAUUGGUGGUAGUGAACCGAAAGGGGAACGACGCUUCGGCGAGCCAGUACAGGUGCUGCAUGGUUGUCGUCAGCUCGUGCCGUGAGGUGUUCGGUUAAGUCCGAAAACGAGCGCAACCCUCGGGGUGCGUUACAUGUGUCGCACGCGACUGCCCGUGAGAAACGGGAGGAAGGUGGGGAUGACGUCAAAUCAGCAUGGCCUAUAUCUCUAGGGCUACACACACGCUACAAUGGACGGUACAGUGCGUUGCGAAGGCGCGAGCCGG